GCCCGGGUAGCUCAGCUGGCAGAGCAACGCUCUUGUAAAGCGUAGGUCAGGAGUUCGAUCCUCCUCCCGGGCU
rnacentral:tRNA from 1 species